rnacentral:rRNA from 1 species
GCCUGAUGGAGGGGGAUAACUACUGGAAACGGUAGCUAAUACCGCAUAACGUCGCAAGACCAAAGAGGGGGACCUUCGGGCCUCUUGCCAUCGGAUGUGCCCAGAUGGGAUUAGCUAGUAGGUGGGGUAACGGCUCACCUAGCGACGAUCCCUAGCUGGUCUGAGAGGAUGACCAGCCACACUGGAACUGAGACACGGUCCAG